GGGCCUGGCGGCUGCUAUACAUGCAAGUCGAGCGGACCGACGGGAGCUUGCUCCCUUAGGUCAGCGGCGGACGGGUGAGUAACACGUGGGUAACCUGCCUGUAAGACUGGGAUAACUCCGGGAAACCGGGGCUAAUACCGGAUGCUUGAUUGAACCGCAUGGUUCCAUUCUUAAAAGGGGGUUUUAACCUCCCCUUUCCAAAGGGCCCCCCGGCCCUUUACCUAUUGGGGGAGGUACCGGCCCCCCAAGGCAACAAGCCUUACCCAACCGAAAAGGGGGACCGGCCCCCUGGGAAUGAAAACCCGGCCCAAAUCCCUCCGGAAGGCACCAUUAGGAAUCCUCCCCCAUGGAACAAAAUUCGAACGAACCACCCCCCCUGGAUUGAGAAAGGUUUCCGAACCUAAAACUUCGGUGGUUAGGAAAAACCAAUUCCCUUCCAAUUAGGGGGGACCCUUGACGUACCCAACCAAAAAGCCACCGGCUAAUUCCGUCCCACCACCCCCGUAAUUCGUUGGUGGAAGCGUUGUCCGGAAUUAUUGGCGUAAAGCGCGCGCGGCGGUUUCUUAAGUCUGAUGUGAAAGCCCCCGGCUCAACCGGGGAGGGUCAUUGGAAACUGGGGAACUUGAGUGCAGAAGAGAGAGUGGAAUUCCACGUGUAGCGGUGAAAUGCGUAGAGAUUGAAGACACAGUUGCGAAGGCAACUCUCUGGUCGUACUUGACCUGAAGCCGA
rnacentral:rRNA from 1 species